rnacentral:rRNA from 1 species
GGAGUUGCACGUAAACUUUGAUCCGAAGAUUUCCGAAUGAGGAAACUCACUUAGAGUAAUGUCUAAGUAUCAUUAAGUGAAUACAUAGCUUAAUGAGGGGAACUCAGGGAACUGAAACAUCUAAGUACCUGAAGGAAGAGAAAGAAAUUCGAUUCCGUAAGUAGCGGCGAGCGAACGCGGAUUAGCCCAAACCAAUAAAGGUUUCUUUAUUGGGGUUGCGGACAUAUCAUAACGAAGAGGUAUCGUAAUUGAAGAGGUUUGGAAAGACCCACCACAGAAGGUAAUAGUCCUGUAGUCAAAAUAAUAAUUCUUUAGAUAUGAUCCAGAGUACCACGGGACACGUGAAACCCUGUGGGAAGCAGGAGGGACCACCCUCCAAGGCUAAAUACUCCCUAGUGACCGAUAGCGUAUAGUACCGUGAGGGAAAGGUGAAAAGAACCCCGGGAGGGGAGUGAAAUAGAACCUGAAACCCUGCACUUACAAGCUGUGGAAGCACAUUUCUUGUGUGACCGCGUACUUUUU